GAUGAACGCUAGCGGCAGGCUUAAUACAUGCAAGUCGAGGGGCAGCAUGAAGUAGCAAUACUUUGAUGGCGACCGGCAAACGGGUGCGGAACACGUACACAACCUUCCUUUAAGUGGGGAAUAGCCCAGAGAAAUUUGGAUUAAUACCCCGUAACAUUGCGAUGUGGCAUCACAUUGCAAUUAUAGUUUCGACGCUUAAUGAUGGGUGUGCGUAUGAUUAGAUAGUUGGCGAGGUAACGGCUCACCAAGU
rnacentral:rRNA from 1 species